rnacentral:rRNA from 1 species
CAGUAGCCGCGGGAAUACAGAGGGUGCGAGCGUUAAUCGGAUUUACUGGGCGUAAAGCGUGCGUAGGCGGCUUUUUAAGUCGGAUGUGAAAUCCCUGAGCUUAACUUAGGAAUUGCAUUCGAUACUGGGAAGCUAGAGUAUGGGAGAGGAUGGUAGAAUUCCAGGUGUAGCGGUGAAAUGCGUAGAGAUCUGGAGGAAUACCGAUGGCGAAGGCAGCCAUCUGGCCUAAUACUGACGCUGAGGUACGAAAGCAUGGGGAGCAAACAGGAUUAGAUACCCCAGUAGUCCCUGUCUCUUAUAC